rnacentral:misc_RNA from 1 species
GAUGAAGAACGUAGCGAAAUGCGAUAAGUAAUGUGAAUUGCAGAAUUCAGUGAAUCAUCGAAUCUUUGAACGCACAUUGCGCCCGCCAGCACUCUGGCGGGCAUGCCUGUUCGAGCGUCAUUUCAACCAUCAAGCCCCCAGGGGCUUGUGCUGGGGCCCUGCGGCUGCCCGCAGGCCCUGAAAACCAGUGGCGGGCUCGCUAGUCACACCGAGCGCAGUAGCACAUCUCGCUCAGGGCGUGCGGCGGGCUCCUGCCGUGAAACCCCCCACUGUAACCCCAAAGGUUGACCUCGGAUCAGGUAGGAAUACCCGCUGAACUUAAGCAUAUCAAAGCGGAGGA